CUCAGAAUCACCUGGUGGACUUGUUAAAACACAAUGUACUGGGCCCCACACCUGAGAGUUUCUGACUUAAUUGAUCUGGAAUGGGCCUGAGAAUUUGCAGUUCUAACAAGUUCCCAAGUGAUGCUGCU
rnacentral:miRNA from 1 species